UGUCCUGUAGCUUAGUGGUAGAGCGAUCGCCUGUUAAGCGAAAUGUCGUAGGUUCAAUCCCUACCAGGACAG
rnacentral:tRNA from 1 species